GCGGUCGGUAGCUCAGUGGUUGAGUGGGGACUUAAAAUCCCCGUGAUGUAGGUUCGAUUCCUACCCACCGCA
rnacentral:tRNA from 1 species